rnacentral:tRNA from 1 species
GCAGGUAUAGUAUAAAGGUUAGUAUGUAACACUUCCAAUGUUAAUGUGUGGGUUCGAUUCCCACUAUCUGCU